AUGAGAGCCUGUCCCCGGGUCCUGUCCCUGGGUCCUUCCUCACUGGAAGGCGCAUUGGUGGGAUUAAGGAGGUUUUCGAAGUAUUCCUUCCACCGAUCCACAACAUCCCGAGGUGAGAUCAGCAGCACACCAUUGCCACUAUACACAGUGUUGACAGUGCACUGCUUCCCCUUCCUCAGACACCGGAUGGUGGUCCAGAACCUUUUCGAAGUUGUCUGGAAGUCAUUCUCCAUGGCCUCACUGAACUCUUCAUAUGCUCGGGUCUUUGCCUCGGCAACUGCCGUAGCUGCACUCCGCUUGGCCUAUCUGGCAGGUGCUUCGCUAACCCUUAACCUUCCUAAAUGUGAGUUUGGAAGAGGUUCUGUCUUGUAUCUUGGUCAGCAGGUUGGCGGAGGACAGGUGCGCCCUGCGGAUCUAAAGAUUGCAGCCAUUACUGCGUUUUCUGCCCCAACAACCAGGCGGGAGUUGCGCCGAUUCCUCGGUAUGGCUGGAUUCUACUGUAGGUUCUGCAAGAAUUUUUCCAUCGUGGCAGCCCCAUUGACUGCACUAACCAGUCCUCAAAAGCCAUUUGCUUGGUCAAGGGAGUGCCAACAGUCCUUUGAGGAUCUCAAGAGUCUCCUCAGCUGUAACCCCGUUGUGUUUGCUCCCAAUUUUUCAUUGCCAUUUAAGUUGGAAGUAGAUGCCAGUGCUGUCGGGGCUGGAGCCGUCCUUCUACAAGAGGAUCCCCAAGGUGUUGACCAUCCUGUAGCCUACUUCUCAAGGAAGUUCGACAAACAUCAGCUCCGGUACUCGACAAUCGAAAAGGAGACGCUUGCACUGUUGUAUGCUCUGCAACAUUUUGAGGUCUAUCUUGCCUCUAGCGCAAAGCCUAUAAAGGUUUUUACAGACCAUAACCCUCUUGUUUUUCUCUCAAGGAUGUAUAAAAAUAACCAUCGAUUAAUGCGUUGGUCUUUAAUCGCCCGGAAUUACAAUUUAGAAAUUAAUCACAAAAAGGGGUCCGAAAACAUUCUUGCGGAUGCGCUGUCUCGGGCACUGUAG
rnacentral:lncRNA from 1 species